GUGCACUCGCUCGCUCUCUGUCUCUCUCUCUCUCUUGCUGUCUCUCUCAAAAUAAACUUAAAAAUAAAAUAAAAUGACUCAAAUUAUAGAUAGACAUUGGUGGAAAGACAAAAGCAGUCUGUGUUCCCAGAGGCCUCAGGCCUUCUCCCUCUGGACACUUUGAACACCUGCACCUGACCUUCAUUCAGUUUCCACCUACUACGAGUUACCAAUCUGCUCUGGUUUCCCAGAUGGGUUAAAGCCUUUCCCUGCCGCAUUGCCGAUGCCCUCACAAUGGCAAAGAAAAUGUGCUCAAAAUGUGUUCAAAAAUGCGUUUUUCACUUGGGGUAGAUCUUCUAUAAUCUCCAGUGAUCAAGGCACCCAGUUCACUGGGCAGAUCAUAUGAACCGUAAGGAAAACCUUGUAAACUUCUUGAAAUCCUAUCACUGUACAACCUUCUGCAUACUAGUAUCAGUCUCUACGGUCUUAUACUCAAGCCUAUCACCAAAGCCUUCCCAGAUCCCAAUUCAGAGGAUCCUGUGCAUCACAGUCUAGAGCCUGAUGAGUGGGUAUUCUGGAAACGUGAGCCGUGGAAGACAGCUCUCGAGCCCCAUUGGAAGAGACCUCACCAAGUGCCCCGACCAUGGACGCUGCUGCAAAACCAGAAGGUAUUAAGCCUCGGGUACACCUCCCACGGCUGAAAAAAGGCAUCCCCUGAUACCUGGUCCUGCACAGACUCUGGACACCUCGAGUCAAAGGGCAAAGAAGACAAGUGGCUGAUGCCACAGUAGACUCGUUCUGCCUAAGACGGCGGAUCAAGGCUUCUCACUUUAAACGUGAGAACGUUCUCCUUCUUUUCCUUUCUUUUACUCUGACGUUGUCCUGGAAAGAGAAUGCCCUCAUCUCUACGUCUGGGAUAACCUGGAAGUUCAGAGCAAGCUUUUAUUUCAGGCUCAGAGAAAAUCAAACCAUGCUCCUAACUUAUCACAAGCACAAUAAGACGUCUCAUUGGUCAACUCCCCUAAAUUUACAUCGUGUGUCAAAAAGGACCUACCAGGAGGCCCCUGUGAUUCAGGAUUCACUCCUUUUGGCCUGACCCUGCUUCCCUGGUUAGGGAUACAGCUGAGCAAGGAGGUAUCUGGCCAACACCAUCUUCUGCACCUGGAUGAACACUUCUGGGGAAGUUGAAUCUCGAUUACAUAAUCACCGAGCAAGCCACUUGACUGAAAGAGCGGCUCCUUCAGCAGGGUCUUUCUUUGACUUAUUUGGUUUUUGGUUUGGGUCUCGGGGACCAUGGCUUCGAGGUGUCCUCCAAACAUUGGAAAUUACCCUAUUUGUAGUAAUAUAAGAAUCUCCCUGGUAUGUUAAAUGCUCUCAAAAGCUUUAAAUGCAUUUUUGCAGCUGCUAACCCACAGCAAAUGAUUUCCCUGAGACUUGGAGCGUCACGAAAGGAAUAAAGAAGACAACCAAUCUAAAAAUUGUGAACCAAUUUGACAAUAAAUCUCAUAUUUAAAAAAUAAAAAA